UACGUAGGGUGCGAGCGUUAAUCGGAAUUACUGGGCGUAAAGCGUGCGCAGGCGGUUUUGUAAGCCAGAUGUGAAAUCCCCGGGCUUAACCUGGGAAUAGCAUUUGGGACUGCAAGGCUGGAGUGCGGCAGAGGAGACUGGAAUUCCUGGUGUAGCAGUGAAAUGCGUAGAUAUCAGGAGGAAUACCGAUGGCGAAGGCAGGUCUCUGGGCCUUGCCUGACGCUGAGGCGCGAAAGCUAGGGGAGCGAACAGG
rnacentral:rRNA from 1 species